AGCUCGGUAGUCCAAUGGCAGAGACAGCGGGCUUAGACCCCGUCUAGUGAGAGUUCGAAUCUCUCCCGAGCUACCA
rnacentral:tRNA from 1 species